rnacentral:lncRNA from 1 species
AAUUGCUAAAAGAGUCUAGAUGGUCACAACAUCCUAUUUGGAGGUUUUAGAAUGAAGGAAGACUUACCAGAUUUGUGAUUUUGCAAAUAUUAUUUUGCAUAAAACUAAUUUUGUGAAUAACAAAGAGGUCAAAAUCUGCCAUAGGAAAAGAUACAACAGUUUAAGAAGGAUCGGAAGUUCUGAGAAGUUUGCUGUUUUAGGUAAGGUGGCCAGGGUAGGCCUUGUUAAAAGGUGACAUUUGAAAAAAGAGUUGAAGUAGUUGAGGGAGUUAGCCAUGUGGAUGUCUGAGGGAAGAGAGUGGCAUACAGAGGAGCAGCUAGUGCAAAGGCCUGAAGGGAGGAGAGUGUACCUGGCCUGUUUGAAGAACAUCAAGGAAGCCAGUGUGGCUGGAGAGGAUUAGGCAAGGGGGAGAAUUGUAGGAUGAUAUCAUAGAGGUAAGGAAAUGGGGAGGCUAGGUCAUGUAGAGUCUUGUAGGCCAUUGUAAAAUCUUGGGCUUUUGCUCUGGGUGAGAUGGCAAGACAUUAGAGACUUUUGAGCAGAGAAGUGACAUGAUCUGACUUGUGUUUUAAGAACAUCACCCUAUGUUGAGAAUAGACACAGGGCAAUCAGUUAAGAGUCUAUCACAGUAAUCCAAGGAAGAGAUGAUGGUGACUUGGUCUAGCAUGGUAGCAAUGUAGAGGGUGAGAAGCUAUCAGAUUACAGAUAUAUUUCAAAGAGAGAGCCAACAUAUUUUCCUGAAAGAUAGGAUGUGGAGUGUAAGAAAAAAAGGAGUCAAGAAUGCCCCCUAGGUUUUUGUCCUGAGCAAAAUUGAGCCAUCGGCCAAAGUGUGGGACACAUAGGUAUAAGUUUUGGGUGAGAAUAUUUCUUCAGUUUUUGGCACAUUAAAUUUGAGAUGUUUUUCAAAAGAGGAUAUAUUUUGAAAGUAAUUGAAUAGAUAAGUUUGAAGUUUAAGAGAGACAUGUAGACUAGAGAUAAAAAUUUGGAAGUUGAUAUGUAGAUGGUUUUUAAAGCCCACCAGAGAAGUGAGUGUAGAUAGAGAAGAAGUCACCAUUGAGGGCUGAGCCUUGGAAUGCUCCAGUGUUAAGAAAUCUGAGAGAAGGGGAGGAACCAGCCAAGGCAACUGAAAACUACUAAGGUUGAAAAGUAAAAUCUUCAGUAUUGUUGGAAGAAUGUUGUGUCCUGAAAGUCAAGUAAAGAAAGUGUAUCAGGAGAGAGUGAUUGAAGUGUUAAAGCCACUGAUAUAUCAAGAUGAGGGCUGAGAAUUGGUCAUUGGAUUUAGCAACAUGAUGCUCAUUUGUGACUUUGACAAGUAGUUUUGAAAGAAAGGUAAGAGCCGACCUGAAGUGGAUUUUAGAGCAAAUAGUAGGAAAGAUUUAGUCACAGAAAUUAUAGACAACUUUUGAGAAAUUUUGCUGCAGUGGGGAGUUGAGUAAUGGGACAGUAGCUGCUGAGAGAAAUGAGAUCAAGAGUUUUUUUUUGUUUCCCUAAGAUGGGAGAGAAAACAGCAUGGUGGGAUCCGGUUAGGAGGGGUAAAGCUUAGUAAUAGAGGAGAAAGGGGAGAAUUGCUUGAGCAAUGUCCUUGAACUACAGUAAUGAAAAAGGAUGACAUCUAGUGCAUGAGUGGAGGGUUUAAGUUAAGAUAGAAGUAGUCUCCCAUAGUAAAAUAUGAAAAGACAAAAUAUAUGCUUGUACAUGCUGAUAGUUAAGUGUGUAAGUGGUGGUAAGUCAGUGGUAGUUUUCUUCUGAUUGUUUCGUUCGUUUCAGGGUAGUAGCCAAACAAGAUCAUUAGCUGU